GAUGAACGCUGGCGGCGUGCCUAAUACAUGCAAGUCGAGCGAACAGACGAGGAGCUUGCUCCUUCGACGUUAGCGGCGGACGGGUGAGUAACACGUAGGUAACCUACCUAUAAGACUGGGAUAACUUCGGGAAACCGGAGCUAAUACCGGAUAAUAUUUCGAACCGCAUGGUUCGAUAGUGAAAGAUGGCUUUGCUAUCACUUAUAGAUGGACCUGCGCCGUAUUAGCUAGUUGGUAAGGUAACGGCUUACCAAGGCAACGAUACGUAGCCGACCUGAGAGGGUGAUCGGCCACACUGGAACUGAGACACGGUCCAGACUCCUAAGGGAGGCAGCAGUAGGGAAUCUUCCGCAAAGGGCGAAAGCCUGACGGAGCAACGCCGCGUGAGUGAUGAAGGUCUUCGGAUCGUAAAACUCUGUUAUUAGGGAAGAACAAACGUGUAAGUAACUGUGCACGUCUUGACGGUACCUAAUCAGAAAGCCACGGCUAACUACGUG
rnacentral:rRNA from 1 species